rnacentral:rRNA from 1 species
GCCAUGCAUGUCUCAGUACAAGCCAAAUUAAGGUGAAACCGCGAAAGGCUCAUUAAAUCAGUUAUGGUUCCUUAGAUCGUACACACAUUUACUUGGAUAACUGUGGUAAUUCUAGAGCUAAUACAUGCAAACUGAGUUCCAACCGGAGACGGAAGGAACGCUUUUAUUAGAUCAAAACCAAUCGGUGGCGGUUUCGGCUGUCAUCGUACAAUUUGGUGAUUCUGAAUAACUUUCAGCUGAUCGCACGGUCUUGCACCGGCGACGCAUCUUUCAAAUGUCUGCCUUAUCAACUGUCGAUGGUAGGUUCUGCGCCUACCAUGGUUGUAACGGGUAACGGGGAAUCAGGGUUCGAUUCCGGAGAGGGAGCCUGAGAAACGGCUACCACAUCCAAGGAAGGCAGCAGGCGCGCAAAUUACCCACUCCCGGCACGGGGAGGUAGUGACGAAAAAUAACGAUACGGGACUCAUCCGAGGCCCCGUAAUCGGAAUGAGUACACUCUAAACCCUUUAACGAGGAUCAAUUGGAGGGCAAGUCUGGUGCCAGCAGCCGCGGUAAUUCCAGCUCCAAUAGCGUAUAUUAAAGUUGUUGCGGUUAAAAAGCUCGUAGUCGAAUCUGUGUCCAACGCCGCCGGUUCAUCGUUCGCGGUGUUAACUGGCGUGUCGUGGGACGUCCUGCCGGUGGGCUUUGCUCGAAAGGGCGGCCCAAUUCAAUCCUGCCGCGGUGCUCUUCAUUGAGUGUCGAGGUGGGCCGGCACGUUUACUUUGAACAAAUUAGAGUGCUUAAAGCAGGCUAAAAUUUUGCCUGAAUACUGUGUGCAUGGAAUAAUGGAAUAGGACCUCGGUUCUAUUUUGUUGGUUUUAGGAACCCCGAGGUAAUGAUUAAUAGGAACGGAUGGGGGCAUUCGUAUUGCGACGUUAGAGGUGAAAUUCUUGGAUCGUCGCAAGACGGACAGAAGCGAAAGCAUUUGCCAAAAACGCUUUCAUUGAUCAAGAACGAAAGUUAGAGGUUCGAAGGCGAUCAGAUACCGCCCUAGUUCUAACCAUAAACGAUGCCAGCUAGCGAUCCGCCGACGUUCUUCCGAUGACUCGGCGGGCAGCUUCCGGGAAACCAAAGCUUUUGGGUUCCGGGGGAAGUAUGGUUGCAAAGCUGAAACUUAAAGGAAUUGACGGAAGGGCACCACCAGGAGUGGAGCCUGCGGCUUAAUUUGACUCAACACGGGAAACCUCACCAGGCCCGGACACCGGAAGGAUUGACAGAUUGAGAGCUCUUUCUUGAUUCGGUGGGUGGUGGUGCAUGGCCGUUCUUAGUUGGUGGAGCGAUUUGUCUGGUUAAUUCCGAUAACGAACGAGACUCUAGCCUGCUAAAUAGGCGUAUUUCGACAUCUUAAAGGUCAGCCGGACCCAUUGGGUUUCAUCACUCAAUGACCGUGCGUGGUUUUUACUGUCGGCGUACAAACAAUUCUUCUUAGAGGGACAGGCGGCUUCUAGCCGCACGAGAUUGAGCAAUAACAGGUCUGUGAUGCCCUUAGAUGUUCUGGGCCGCACGCGCGCUACACUGAAGGAAUCAGCGUGUCCUCCCUGACCGAGCGGUCCGGGUAACCCGCUGAACCUCCUUCGUGCUAGGGAUUGGGGCUUGCAAUUGUUCCCCAUGAACGAGGAAUUCCCAGUAAGCGUGAGUCAUAAGCUCGCGUUGAUUACGUCCCUGCCCUUUGUACACACCGCCCGUCGCUACUACCGAUUGAAUGAUUUAGUGAGGUCUUCGGACUGGUACGCGGUGGCGUUUCGACGUUGCCGAUG